rnacentral:rRNA from 1 species
UGAGUAGAGUGGCAAACGGGUGAGUAACGCGUGGGUGACCUGCCUUCGAGUGGGGGAUAACGUUCCGAAAGGGACGCUAAUACCGCAUGACAUCCGGCCUUUGAAGAGGCGGAGAUCAAAGCUGGGGAUCGCAAGACCUAGCGCUCGAUGAGGGGCCCGCGUCUGAUUAGCUAGUUGGUGGGGUAACGGCUCACCAAGGCAACGAUCAGUAUCCGGCCUGAGAGGGCGGACGGACACACUGGGACUGAGACACGGCCCAGACUCCUACGGGAGGCAGCAGUGGGGAAUUGUUCGCAAUGGGCGCAAGCCUGACGACGCAACGCCGCGUGGAGGAUGAAGAUCUUCGGGUCGUAAACUCCUUUCGAUCGAGACGAACAGCCUUCGGGUAAACAAUCCGGGGGUCUGACGGUACCG